ACAAUGUUAGGUAAAGUGAUGGUGAAGUUAUGCAGUGGCGAUCGACUGGUCAGCUGAUUUUGGGAUCUGAAACUAGUUCUGACAUUAGGUAUAACAUUUCUACAUGCAGUGUUGAACUGUGUAAUUUUUUUUAGGUAUGAAGGACCACUGUCUUCUACUCCUAUGAAAAAACGGGCAGCACUGACAGAUCUCACUCUAACAAGCAUCGGGUCAAGUGAUUCUGAUAAAGACAAGCAUACCUCAGAAAAGGCCAGCAAGGGCUCGGCCGGUGUGGAAGAAUUGGCCAGGCUUGAGUGCAGCCUUGGGGAAAUGAGCAUUGGUGAGGAGGAACAUCUGGAUGAACAAGCCAUCAAUGACUUGAGGAAUAGCCCG